GGGGUUGUGGCUCAGUGGUAGAGCGCUUGCCUAGCACAUGCAAGGCCCUGGGUUCGAUCCUCAACACCA
rnacentral:tRNA from 1 species